GACGAACGCUGGCGGCGUGCUUAACACAUGCAAGUCGAACGGAAAGGCCCUGCUUUUGUGGGGUGCUCGAGCGGCGAACGGGUGAGUAACACGUGAGUAACCUGCCCUUGACUUUGGGAUAACUUCAGGAAACUGGGGCUAAUACCGGAUAGGAGCUCCUGCUGCAUGGUGGGGGUUGGAAAGUUUCGGCGGUUGGGGAUGGACUCGCGGCUUAUCAGCUUGUUGGUGGGGUAGUGGCUUACCAAGGCUUUGACGGGUAGCCGGCCUGAGAGGGUGACCGGCCACAGUGGGACUGAGAUACGGCCCAGACUCCUACGGGAGGCAGCAGUGGGGAAUAUUGCACAAUGGGCGGAAGCCUGAUGCAGCAACGCCGCGUGCGGGAUGACGGCCUUCGGGUUGUAAACCGCUUUCGCCUGUGACGAAGCGUGAGUGACGGUAAUGGGUAAAGAAGCACCGGCUAACUACGUG
rnacentral:rRNA from 1 species